rnacentral:rRNA from 1 species
GAGUUUGAUCAUGGCUCAGGAUUAACGCUGGCGGCGUGCCUAACACAUGCAAGUCGAGCGGCAGCGAGUUUUACACUAAAUUCUGGAAACUUCUAGUUUAAAAGAAGGUAUUUCAAGGAUUUUGUGUAGAAUGUCGGCGAGCGGCGGACGGCUGAGUAACGCGUGGGAAUAUACCCCAAAGUGAGGGAUAACUGCCCGAAAGGGUAGCUAAUACCGCAUAUGGUCUUCGGAUUAAAGCAUUUAUGCGCUUUGGGAAUAGCCUGCGUCAGAUUAGAUAGUUGGUGAGGUAAUAGCUCACCAAGUCAACGAUCUGUAACCGGUUUGAGAGGAUGAUCAGUCAGACUGGAACUGAGACACGGUCCAGACUCCUACGGGAGGCAGCAGUGAGGAAUCUUCCACAAUGGGCGAAAGCCUGAUGGAGCAACGCCGCGUGCAGGAUGAAGGCCUUCGGGUCGUAAACUGCUUUUAUAAGUGAGGAUUACGACAGUAACUUAUGAAUAAGGAUCGGCUAACUACGUGCCAGCAGCCGCGGUCAUACGUAGGAUCCGAGCGUUAUCCGGAGUGACUGGGCGUAAAGAGUUGCGUAGGUGGUCUAAUAAGCGAAUAGUGAAAUCUGGUGGCUCAACCAUUCAGACUAUUACUCGAACUGUUAGACUCGAGAACAGCAGAGGUAACUGGAAUUUCUUGUGUAGGAGUGAAAUCCGUAGAUAUAAGAAGGAACACCAAUGGCGUAGGCAGGUUACUGGGCUGUUUCUGACACUGAGGCACGAAAGCGUGGGGAGCGAACCGGAUUAGAUACCCGGGUAGUCCACGCCGUAAACGAUGGAUACUAGCUGUUUGGGGUAUCGACCCCCUGAGUAGCGAAGCUAACGCGUUAAGUAUCCCGCCUGUGGAG